rnacentral:rRNA from 1 species
UACGGGGGGAGCAAGCGUUGUUCGGAUUUACUGGGCGUAAAGGGCGCGUAGGCGGCCACCGCAAGUCGACUGUGAAAUCUCUGGGCUUAACCCAGAACGGUCAGCCGAUACUGCGGGGCUAGAGUGCAGAAGGGGCAACUGGAAUUCUCGGUGUAGCGGUGAAAUGCGUAGAGAUUGGAAAGAACACCAAUGGCGAAAGCACUUUACUGGGCUAUUACUGACACUGAGAGACGAAAGCUAGGGUAGCAAAUGGG